GGACAACUCACCAGGCCCGGACACCGUAAGGAUUGACAGACUGAUAGCUCUCUCUUGAUUCAGUGGGUGGUGGUGCAUGGCCGUUCUUAGUUGGUGGAGUGAUUUGUCUGGUUUAUUCCGAUAACGAACGAGACUCUGUCCUGCUAAAUAGAGUCUGCUUCUCUUUUGAGCAGACAAUUCUUCUUAGAGGGACAGGCGACUCUUGAGCAAUAA
rnacentral:rRNA from 1 species